rnacentral:lncRNA from 1 species
GGAAAGCUGGGCUAAGAUUUCUGUUCACACGCAUUGCUACGUGGCUCUGGAGAUCCAGUAUUCUAGCCUGGAAAUUCCAUGAACAGAGGAGCCUGGAGGGUUACAGUCCAUGGGGCUGCAAAGAGUCAGACACAACUGAACAACACCUGGAGAUCUAGGGGGGAGGAGCAGGAAGAGGAGCUGACAUUGACCAGGCGCAUAGGCACUGGAGAGG